UACGUAGGGUGCGAGCGUUGUCCGGAAUUAUUGGGCGUAAAGAGCUUGUAGGCGGUUUGUCGCGUCUGCUGUGAAAAUCCGGGGCUCAACCCCGGACUGCAGUGGGUACGGGCAGACUAGAGUGUGGUAGGGGAGACUGGAAUUCCUGGUGUAGCGGUGGAAUGCGCAGAUAUCAGGAGGAACACCCGUGGCGAAGGCGGCUCUCUGGGACGGUACUGA
rnacentral:rRNA from 1 species